CGACCUGAACUCAGUCGAGAU
rnacentral:rRNA from 1 species